AGUAACCCCAGCUGCUUUGCAUGUUCUCAGGGCACAGCAUGAGGACAUCUUAAUAGGCUGCCCACAUCUUGUGCAGGAGGCAAUCGCAUUGAGGACACAGCGUGGCAAUGAGGGUCCCCACUCAGCUCCUGGGGCUUCUGCUGCUCUGGAUCCCAGGUGCACGAUGUGACAUCCAGAUGAGUCAGUCUCCUUCUUCGGUGUCUGUAUCCCUUGGAGACAGAAUCACCAUCACUUGCAAAGCCAGUCAAAAUACAUAUAGUAGCUUGGUCUGGUAUCAGCAGAAACCAGGGAAACCUCCUACGCUCCUGAUCUAUGCUGCAAGCAGUUUGGCAUCUGGGGUCCCAUCGAGGUUCAGUGGCAGUGGAUCUGGGACAGAUUUCACUCUCGCCAUCAGUGGUGUGAAGGCUGAAGACGUUGCAACUUAUUAUUGUCAACAGCAUAGUAGUUACCCUCUCACAGUGAUACAAGCCAUAACAAAAACCAAGCAGAGAAGCAGAAGUGGGAGACUGAGCUGUCUCAGUUGA